AGCCAUGUCCAACCCCAGCGCCCCACCACCAUAUGAAGACCGCAACCCCCUGUACCCAGGCCCUCCGCCCCCUGGGGGCUAUGGGCAGCCAUCUGUCCUGCCAGGAGGGUAGAAGAGAUCUGUGCCCAUGGGUCUCCUUGCUUCAAUCCCUUCUUGUUUCAGUGACAUAUGUAUUGUUUAUCUGGGUUAGGGAUGGGGGACAGAUAACAGAACGAGCAAAGUAACCUAUACAGGCCAGCAUGGAACAGCAUCUCCCCUGGGCUUGCUCCUGGCUUGUGACGCUAUAAGACAGAGCAGGCCACAUGUGGCCAUCUGCUCCCCAUUCUUGAAAGCUGCUGGGGCCUCCUUGCAGGCUUCUGGAUCUCUGGUCAGAGUGAACUCUUGCUUCCUGUAUUCAGGCAGCUCAGAGCAGAAAGUAAGGGGCAGAGUCAUACGUGUGGCCAGGAAGUAGCCAGGGUGAAGAGAGACUCGGUGCGGGCAGGGAGAAUGCCUGGGGGUCCCUCACCUGGCUAGGGAGAUACCGAAGCCUACUGUGGUACUGAAGACUUCUGGGUUCUUUCCUUCUGCUAACCCAGGGAGGGUCCUAAGAGGAAGGUGACUUCUCUCUGUUUGUCUUAAGUUGCACUGGGGGAUUUCUGACUUGAGGCCCAUCUCUCCAGCCAGCCACUGCCUUCUUUGUAAUAUUAAGUGCCUUGAGCUGGAAUGGGGAAGGGGGACAAGGGUCAGUCUGUCGGGUGGGGGCAGAAAUCAAAUCAGCCCAAGGAUAUAGUUAGGAUUAAUUACUUAAUAGAGAAAUCCUAACUAUAUCACACAAAGGGAUACAACUAUAAAUGUAAUAAAGUUUAUGUCUAGAA
rnacentral:lncRNA from 1 species